GCCGCCACCGCCCCUUCCUGUCAUGGCCGCCGGCGGGCUGCGGGCGCGGGCCUGAGUCCCGCGGAGCUGACUGCAGCCGCCUGUCCGCGCGCCGCCGCGGGCCGCCCGGCCUCGGCGAGCCGCGCUCCGUCUCGGCAGGAGCGCACUUUACCGAAGAUACUUGGUGUGCGACCAGGGGCAAGCCACUUACAUCUUCUUUCCUUUGGUCCCUUCAUGGUUGUCUAAACAGGAUUCUUUUGAAGUUGGAGAAAACAGAAAAGGCGUUUGUCCGCAAAUAUUACCAUAGUACCUGCUUUCUACAGCUCAUUUCUUCGCACUUGCCUUGUGCGCUCAGCUGGUCAGCAGCAUGC